CGCGUAGGUGGUAGUGUAAGUCUGGGGUGGAAUGCCGGGGCUUAACCCUGGAAUUGCCUUGGAAACUGCAUUACUUGAGUCAGUGAGGGGAGGGUAGAAUUCCUGGUGUAGCGGUGAAAUGCGUAGAUAUCAGGAGGAAGGCCUGUGGCGAAGGCGGCCCUCUGGUGCUGGACUGACACUGAGGCGCGAAAGCGUGGGGAGCAAACAGGAUUAGAUACCCUGGUAGUCCACGCCCUAAACGGUGGGCACUAGGUGUAGGGCUCGUAAGGGUUCUGUGCCGAAGGGAAACCAUUAAGUGCCCCGCCUGGGGAGUACGGCCGCAAGGUUGAA
rnacentral:rRNA from 1 species